rnacentral:rRNA from 1 species
GUCCUAAGGUAGCGAAAUUCCUUGUCGGGUAAGUUCCGACCUGCACGAAUGGCAUAACGAUGGCCACACUGUCUCCUCCCGAGACUCAGUGAAGUUGAAAUGUUUGUGAUGAUGCAAUCUACCCGCGGCUAGACGGAAAGACCCCAUGAACCUUUACUGCAGCUUUGCAUUGAACUGUGAACCGAUUUGUGUAGGAUAGGUGGGAGGCAGAGAAGAGGCCACGCCAGUGGUCUUGGAGCCGACCUUGAAAUACCACCCUGAUUUGUUUGCGGUUCUAACCACGGACAGUGAUCCUGUCUUGGGACCGUGCAUGGUAGGCAGUUUGACUGGGGCGGUCUCCUCCUAAAGGGUAACGGAGGAGUACGAAGGUACGCUAGGUACGGUCGGAAAUCGUGCUGAUAGUGCAAUGGCAAAAGCGUGCUUGACUGCGAGAGCAACAACUCGAGCAGAUGCGAAAGCAGGUCAUAGUGAUCCGGUGGCUCUGAAUGGAAGGGCCAUCGCUCAACGGAUAAAAGGUACUCUGGGGAUAACAGGCUGAUACCGCCCAAGAGUUCAUAUCGACGGCGGUGUUUGGCACCUCGAUGUCGGCUCAUCUCAUCCUGGGGCUGUAGUCGGUCCCAAGGGUAUGGCUGUUCGCCAUUUAAAGAGGUACGUGAGCUGGGUUUAAAACGUCGUGAGACAGUUUGGUCCCUAUCUGCCGUGGGCGUUGGAAGAUUGACGGGGGCUGCUCCUAGUACGAGAGGACCGGAGUGGACGCACCUCUGGUGUACCGGUUGUCACGCCAGUGGCAUUGCCGGGUAGCUAAGUGCGGAAGAGAUAACCGCUGAAAGCAUCUAAGCGGGAAACUUGCCUGAAGAUGAGUCUUCCCGGAGGUUGAACCUCCCUCAAGAGUCGUCCGAGACCAGGACGUCGAUAGGUCAGGUGUGUAAGCGCUGUAAGGCGUUGAGCUAACUGAUACUAAUUGCUCGUGAGGCUUGAUCCUAUAACC